rnacentral:tRNA from 1 species
GGAAAGGUUGUCAUAGGCAGGGCGAGGUAUUUGCUAAAUAUUGUGUUUAACACCUGGUGGUUCGAAUCCUCCCUUUUCCG